UGGGAGAGGACUACAGAAGCACAUGAGCACCUGGGGGAGAGAAUCAGUGAGUGCUGCUUAGAGGUGCUAGAAACUCAGUGCUGAAACAGACACAGGUGCUCAGGAAAACAGGUAGCAGGUGAUGCAUUUGGGCAGAGUUCCAAAACCUCUUAACUUCACCUAUGCAGAAUUCCUAUGGACAUCUACACUUGAAGUUAGAGGAUUGCAGUUCAAUUUUCCAACAACAGCCUUAGUCCUUAGAUGUGGCUGCUACAAAGCGCUAUGGAGUCCUGGAUGAAGACCUGGUCCAGAUUCUGGUUCUGCACAUCAACUAGACAUGUCAACUCGGGAAAAUCAUUCCAUCCACCCAGUCUGAGACCCAUGACCUGCAAGAUGAGGAGGAUAA